GCGUGGAUUAGCUUAUCUCCAUGAAGAUUGUCAUCCUCGUAUCAUACACAGGGACAUCAAAUCAUCCAACAUUCUUUUAGAUAAUAACUUUCACCCUCUGGUUUCUGACUUUGGUCUUGCAAAGCUAGCUCUAGAC